rfam:TPA: Bos taurus chromosome X, whole genome shotgun sequence.
UCCCUGGUGGCUUAGAUGGUAAAGAAUCUGUCUGUAAUGUGGAAGACCCAGGUUCGAUCCUUGGGUAGGGAA